GACAGAGGGUGCAAACGUUGUUCGGAAUUACUGGGCGUAAAGCGCGUGUAGGCGGCCCAGCAAGUCGGAUGUGAAAGCCCUGGGCUUAACCUAGGAAGUGCAUUCGAAACUGCUGGGCUUGAGUUCUGGAGAGGAAGGCGGAAUUCUCGGUGUAGAGGUGAAAUUCGUAGAUAUCGAGAGGAACACCGGUGGCGAAGGCGGCCUUCUGGACAGUCGACUGACGCUGAGACGCGAAAGCGUGGGGAGCAA
rnacentral:rRNA from 1 species